UAUGUGAUCGUCUCUCGCAUAUCAAUAAGCGGAGGAAAAGAAACUAACAAGGAUUCCCCUAGUAACGGCGAGUGAAGCGGGAAGAGCUCAAAUUUGAAAUCUUAAAGGGUUUCCCUUUACGAAUUGUAGUUUAAAGAAGUGUUUUCUGUUGAGGUUUUGGUAAAAGUUCUUUGGAAUAGGACAUCAUAGAGGGUGAGAAUCCCGUAUUUGACCUUUACUUUCAACUUUGUGAUACACUUUCAAAGAGUCGGAUUGUUUGGGAAUGCAGUCCAAAAUGGGUGGUAAAUUUCAUCUAAAGCUAAAUAUUGGCGAGAGACCGAUAGCGAACAAGUACCGUGAGGGAAAGAUGAAAAGAACUUUGAAAAGAGAGUUAAACAGUACGUGAAAUUGUCAAAAGGGAAGCGUUUGACACCAGUGUUGUUUUUCUGAAAAUCAAUUAAAGAACUGUUUAUGCUAAGCUGUUUAGACUUUAUCAGCUAACUGUUUAGUUUUGAGCUUUUCUUUAAUGCACUUUUCAGUUAACAAGUCAACAUCAAUUUCUUUUGCUGUAAAGAAGCUUGAGGAAGGUGGCUUGAGAUUCGUCUUAAGUGUUUAUAGCCUCUUGCCUAUGCAGUCGGAGAGAUUGAGGUCUGCAGCGUAGAUCCUUCGGGGCUAAAUGCAUUUGUGCUAAGUUAUAACAUUUUAUAGACAACUUGUUGACUAUGAUUUGUCUUGUAGCUUACUCGCUUAUGUUAUUUUACCUACGCUUAGGAUGUUGAGUAGCGACAUACGCAC
rnacentral:rRNA from 1 species